rnacentral:rRNA from 1 species
UACGUAGGGUGCGAGCGUUAAUCGGAAUUACUGGGCGUAAAGCGUGCGCAGGCGGCUUUGCAAGACAGAUGUGAAAUCCCCGGGCUUAACCUGGGAACUGCAUUUGUGACUGCACGGCUGGAGUGCGGCAGAGGGGGAUGGAAUUCCGCGUGUAGCAGUGAAAUGCGUAGAUAUGCGGAGGAACACCGAUGGCGAAGGCAAUCCCCUGGGCCUGCACUGACGCUCAUGCACGAAAGCGUGGGGAGCAAACAGG